GUUUUAAUUAAAAGUAAAUAUGAAUUUAUUUUAACAUGGAACAUCAACUGUUCUAUUUCAGAGGCAAGAUGGAAAUAAAUUGUCCUUGUUCUUCCUGUGCUGCUCAGAAAGAGUUUGUCCUUCUCAUGUCUCCCACGUUACCUGCUCUUCUCAUUUCCAUAUUUUUGUUUUCUCCUUCGUUUCGCUCCAUGGCAGCAAAUAAUGCUGAAUACCGAUGUAUUCAUUCAUUUACAGAUCAUUUCUCUGAGCACCACACACUAGCACUCAGCUUUUCCAAAUACAAAUCAAGGCUGGUUACCUUAAUUACUCAUGGAUUUCUGCAGUGCACAGAUUUACCACCCAGUUUCUCCACUGGUGCCUGGGAUCUCAGAGUCAGGAAGUGGUGAGAAGUCUGUUGCAGGCAAUGCCCUGAUAGCAGUGAUUACAUUUAGAAAGUCAGUAUUUCCAAGCCACAGCCCUGCAGAGGACAGUCAGGGACAGCUGGUGGGAACAGUGCUGUGACAUCAGCUGUUCCUUGCGUCCCUAGAGAAAUGCAGAGGCUGAGUGGAAAUCUCCUGAAGGUCUCCACACUUCCCUGUGCUUCUCACAAACCCUUGAGCGUGGUAGCACUGACCAUGCUUGCUGGGUAGCUGCCAUUCCUCACUGUCUUUUGGUCCAGCUAAUGGGCAUUUGCUCAAUUCCACGUGUUCCAGCGCUUAGCACUUGGCCCCAGAGAAUAUCGUGUGAUUAAUGCAUCAAAAGACUUGUCUUAAAAUCCUCCUCCCCUCACUUUCCAGCGUUUUAUUUUCUCAGUUACAUUUUCUCUUUGUUCCUUUCUGCAAACCCUAGUGUAAAUGUUUUUGAGUAAUUAAUGUGUCAAAUAACAGACCUGAAUUUUCAUGGGCAAUUAGUGGGCUGAGUAAAGCCAGCAAAAUGCAUUUCAGUUUUAAUAGUGAAUUGUGGCUCAUUUGCUGUUUUGCAGAAAUAUAUCCUGGAAUACUGAGAGCUUCAUAUGCCUGUAUAUUUUUUAUUUCUGUUUCAUCUACCAAAGCUCCCUCUCCUUUUCUAUUUUUCACCACAUACAAGAUGCUGCUAGUAGUCUAUUAAAAUUUGCAUAUUGUCCUUCUGCCUCAUUGAUAAUUGAUCAGGUUAACAUCUGCUUUCUGCUGGUGCCAGGAGAAACUUGUUUGUUUCCACAGGACUCUGUAAUUCCUCAGGGCCCUGCAGAACUGCACUUCCCAAAGAGAGGUGCCAGGUGCCCCCACAGCAGCACAAGGCACACAGCCUGCUCCCCAAAGAGCUCAGGACACGCUCCAGAGCUGGUGAGGGCUCACCAGCUGAAUUACACAUGGUGGUGGCACAGCAAAUUGUCUACUGUAGGCAAUGCAAGAACAUUUUCAAUAGGAUUACACAGGAACCUCACGCUCCCCAAAGUCCUGCUGAAAGCAUGAGACACCCACUGUGAGGAGAGCAGGUGAAGGCUCCAAAAACUGCCUAGAGAGAAGCGCUAGCGUGCAGCUUUACCAAUGGGACAUGUACUUCCAACCAUUUUAUAAGUGUGGAAACUACAUUGCUUUGAUAUUGCAGGGCUAUUAGAAAGACUUUUAUUCUCUCCACGGUUUCUGGGGAUUCAGCUGUCUGAUUCCAAAAACACCAGAAUCAGAAUCAGUUCAGCUUGGAGACAAGCAGUCAAAAUGAUUAGCAAGGCAAGGAGCUGGUUCAGUCUCAAGGACGCAGCAUAGAAGUCUGACUGGCACAAUCCAUCACAGGUUGGAUGUACCAUAAUUGUACACCACAGAUUUGUAAAUAAUCUCUUUCUUGGUGUCUGUGUUGACAAGGAAUAAUAUAUGUGAGAGCUCCCUUGGUAGGUUACCUUCUGUCUAAACACACCGUCCUGACACUUAAGUGUACACGGUGCAUCUUUAGGAGGAUCUGAGGAGCAUCAGAGGAGGAUGAGCUUGAACAAGGCAGUGCAGCAGAGGCAGGCCAUGACCUGGAGGGCAGGCUGACCUUCCCACCCAGUCUGUGCCUUUCCUGGGCACAGAUAAAAGGGUGCAGAAGUAUGCACCAGGGCUUUCAGUGUGCUCUUCUAUUUUCUUGGAUGCACUGUGCCUUGGAAGGAAUAGCUGUGCUUUCAUUAAAAAGGCUGCCACUCUCAUUGGAAUCUACAAUUUCAAGCACAUCUAGAUAAACCCCUACUAGCACCAAAACACAGCUUAUCACUGCUGCACAGUAAUGAAUACAGUGUCCCAUCAAGGCCAUGGGACCCAAAAUGCUGUCAGCCACAGGCAGAGUAAGGGAGAGCUGUCACACAAGGAGUGCACAGGAGGGACAAACGUGCAGAUCGUGUUCUGGUCAUCUGUAACAAAGAAUGAAGAUCAAAAGUACAGUUACUGAGGGGAACAGAAUGAGAGAUAAUUCGUCAACCAUCAGUAUACAAUGCCACCUGACAAUUUCUAAAUGCAACUGGUAGCUUUGGGUGAACAGUUUGAGGCAAAAUGCAGCUUUUAUGCUGCUUUGGAAGGUACCAAGCACCCACCUCAGAGAGUAAAGUACCCUUUACUUCAACUUGCCUGACUUCAUAUCACCAGCCCAGGUCCUCCUGUGCAGGGCACUGUAACUGGACCCCUUCCCACCUGGAUGUAUUUGCUCCUGUCCAUUACCUGCUGUUGCAGUGUUAUAAAGCUCCUGUCUUAUAUACACAGGGAUAGUAAGGACACUUUUCCACAUUUCACCUACUGCAUGCAUGGCAGUAUAGCUGUUUCUACUGAUACUCACAUUAAAAACCCCAGAAAUUUGUUCCAGAAAGAUCUUUCUCCUCAUUUCAGAUAUAUGAUUCACAACAAGCCACUCUUUCCUCCCCAAGACCUAUACUGUAGGCAAUAGCACCUCUAAUAAGCUUAAGGGAAAAUAAAAUACAUCAAGGAGGAUCA
ensembl:lncRNA